ACUUUUAACAAUGGAUAUCUUGGCUCUUGUAUCGAUGAAGAACGCAGUGAAACGCGAUAUGUAAUGCGAAUUGCAGAACUCUGUGAGUCAUCAAAUCUUUGAACGCAUAUUGCACUUCUCAAUUCAAUUGAGAAGUAUGCUUGUAUGAGUGAUGUUUAAUAACAAUUAUCUAAUUAUUUUUAGGUAGUUUAUAUGAAUGUUAUAUUUUUAAAUAUAUCAUUUUAAAUCUAUUUUUUAUUUUAACAAAAUAAAAAUAUCGAAUGGAUAAUAUCUAUUCUUUUUAUUUUAUAUAAAAAAAAAUAUAUUAUCAUAAAUACAUCCUCAUAUCAAGUAAAGGACCCGCUGAACUUAAGCAUAUUAAUAAGCGGAGGAAAAUAAACUAACAAGGAUUCCCCUAGUAAAGGCGAUUGAAGAGGGAAUAAGUCCAAGCCAAAAUCGUUGUCAUUAUAUGGCAACGAGUUGUGGUGUAUAAAUAAGAUUGAAAUUCAUAUACCUACUAUAAAAAAACUUAGUUUGGAAUGCUAGGUCAUAGAAGGUGAAAACCCUGUAAUAUAAAUAGUAGUUGUAUAGUACGAAUGAAAAUCAAAGAGUCGAGUUGUUUGUGAUUGCAACUCAAAUCCGGUGGUAAAUUCCAUCGAAGACUAAAUAAAUGCAAGAGACCGAUAGCGAACAAGUACUGUGAAGGAAAGAUGAAAAAUACUUUGAAAAGAGAGUUAAAUAGAAUUUGAAAUUGUUAAGAGGUUAACUGAAUGGUAUUCAGUGUAUGAUGGUUAUUUAUAUCUAAGCUUCCCAUUAUGGAGAGUUUUUUGAUAUAAGUAACUAUAGUCAAUAUUAGUUACAAAAUUCUAAAACAUAGGAAUGGUGUAUGUUGAUUUAAUCUUUCGGGAUUAAGUUGAAUCACUGUUUGAAAUUAGGAUAUAGUGACUAAGGUUUGUAUUGUAUUAGGAUCUAUGCAGGUUGUAUUGUUGUGUCAUGCUGUGUAUUCUCCUAGAGUUGCCAUGGUAUGUGGCAUGAUCUUGCAGCUUGUAAGUUUUAAUACGAAGAUAUUGACAAAAUGAAACCAUUUAAACCCGUCUUGAAACAACGGACCAAGGAGUCUAACAUAUAAGCGAGUAUUAUAGUGAUAAAAACUAUAAUGGCGAAAUGAAAGUAAUGGAGAUGAAUUCUGGUUUAAAAUCGGAAAGCAGUCUCAGCCGAUAUAAUUUAUGAAUUAUAUUUGAGUUUGAGCUUAUCUGGUUGGGACCCCGAAAGGAUGGUGAACUAUACUCGAAUAGAAUGAAGUCAGAAGAAAUUCUGAUGGGAAGUUCGUAGCGAUUGUGACGUGCAAAUCCCAUCGUCAAAUUUGAGCAUAGGGCGAAAGACUAAUCGAACCAUCGUAGUAGCUGGUUCCCUCCGAAAUUUCCCUCAGGAUAGCAACAAUUUAAUUAGGAAUAUUUGGUAAAGCGAAUGAUUAGAGAAUUUGGAUCGGUAAAUCGAUUUGAUCUAUUCUCAAACUUUAAAUGAGUAUGAUAUGGUGUAUAAAUUAAUUUUAUAUACUAUUCGUCUAAUAUAAAUUGUUAGUGGGCCAUAUUGGGUAAGCUGAUAUGCGCAUGCGGGAUCAUCCGAACGAGAAGUUAAGGGUGCCAAAAUAAUCGCUAAUUUAGAUUUCACAAAAGGUGUUAUUUCAUUUAGACAGCAGGACGAUGGCCAUGGAAGUUGGAAUUCGCUAAGGAUGUGUAACAACUCACCUGCCGAAUGAAAUAGCCCUGAAAAUGGAUAGCGCUAAAGCGAUUGAAUAAACCGAUACUUUUCCAAUAAAUCAAAAAGACUGAUUUAUUGAGUAGGAGGGCGUAAUGUAAAUUUAGAAGUAUAAAUGUGAAUUUAUAUGAAAUUUACAUUAGUGCAGAUCUUGGUGGUAGUAGCAAAUAUUCAAAUGAGAUCUUUGAAGACUGAAGUGGAGAAAGGUUCCAUAAAUAAAUAUUGAUUAGAUAUGGGUAAGUCGAUCCUAAAAGGUAACCGAAAAGGUGUUAAAUAGAGUAUAUUUAAAUCUAAAAGUGAAUAUACUAUAUCUUAACCUUGAAAGGGAAUUAGGUUAAUAUUCCUAAACCUAAGAUUGAUAAUGUAUGGUGACAUAAAUAUCUUUAGAGACUUGCAACAUAUAUUCUAAAAAGAGUUCUCUUUUCUUUUUAACUAUGCAAUUUUUAUACUCUAGAAUUAUAUAAAAUAGAGAAAGAGAUAAAGGCAUAGGAAUAAUAUAUUCAUUUAUAAUGAAUAUAUAUAGAAUAUAUAUGUUGUACCUUAAAAAUCUAAAGAUGAUAAUUAUUUAAAUCUUAGUUCGUACUAAUAACCGCAUCAGGUCUCCAAGGUGAGUAGCCUCUAGUUAAUAGAAGAAAGUAAGUAAGGGAAGUCGGCAAAAUAGAUCUGUAACUUUGGGAAAAAGAUUGGCUCUGAAGGCAUGGUAGUUUCCUGGGCUAGUAGACGCUAUUGCGAUCUGCAAUCACACUUGGCAACGGGUGGGUUAAUGUGAUAGUAGUUGAUGCUAGUCAUUUGGGGCUGCAAUAAAAUGCUAAUUCAGAACUGGUACGGACAAGAGGAAUCCGACUGUUUAAUUAAAACAAAGCAUUGUGAUGGUUUUAGAUAAUGUUGACACAAUGUGAUUUCUGCCCAGUGCUCUGAAUGUCAAAGU
rnacentral:rRNA from 1 species